AGGACAUUGUAACUACACACCCUUUUACCAAGAUCUCCAACUGGAGCAGUGGGAACACCUACUUCCACAUCACCAUCGGCAACCUGGUCAGAGGAAGCAAACUGCUGUGUGAGACCUCACUGGGCUACAAGAUGGACGACCUGCUGACGUCUUACAUCAGUCAGAUGCUGACCACUAUGAACAAGCAGCGCUCCGGGCGCGGCCAAAGCAAGUGAACUUCUUACUGGCAGGAGGCCACUGAGCUCAUCCGGCUCCUGCGCCCUAUUGGCCAGCACUGCAGCUGGGGGCGGACCUUCGCCCACCAGCUGUGGUGGAUGAGCCGCAGUCCUUCUGCUAGCUCAGAAGGGUCAAAGAUCACCGGGGAGAGUUCAGCUGCCAGCAGUGACGACCCCGGCGAAGGCCCCAGCAACCAUUACCACUACAACUAUAAAUAUAACUACGACGAGGACGAGCUGUCCAGUGAGGACGACUACCUGUGACUCCCUGAAACUCCCUGAACCCUGCUGUGGUUCUGUGGUGUGGGGAGUCAUUACUGCUGCCAUGGUUACAUCAAUAACCGUUCAAACUGAAGACGCCUCAUCUUCACAUUCAGCGACUGUGGCUGCUGAUGUUCUUAUGAAGGUAAAAUCCUUUAACCUAUUUAUUUAUGGGAGUAAUGAUGAAGCUCUGGACUGAGUGAGAGGACACUUUGUGUCAAGAGAUUUUAGGCUUGACAUAAAGGCCCCGUAUACAUGAGAAUGAGUUUAGAGAACUUGCAAACAUUUUUAUUUGUAUGUAUCGUUUUUUAUCCACAUGUAAUGGCGUUUUGUGAGCCCUAAUAUACUGUUUUAUUAAAAUGGGUCUCAGAGUAAAAUAAUCUCAAAUCACCACCUUUGCAUUUUCGUGUCUUUAACUAACCUACAACUUUGGGAAAACAAUGUCAUAGGCCAUCUUUCUAGCCUAACCCAGCUAACUUUAAGGUUUUCUGUGGCAGCGUUACAGCACCACACACUGGACUGGCAUAUAUACUACUUAGUCUUUGCAUAACAUGAUAGCAACAAUUGCAGAAGUUACUAAAAAGCCUUAAAUUGAAUUUGGCUGCUGUUGAAGGAACUGCCAUUACAUGAACAAAGUGAGCAGUGGGUGGUGCUGCAGGCGCCAGGAAGCUCAUCUAAUGACUGUAAUUGGUUCAAGUCUCAUUUUGAAUGUUGAAUGAUCUUUUAUGUUAAAUAAAUACAUGUAAUGAACAUUUAUGGGCCUUGCUGUCAAAUUUGACACAUUAAGACAUUUUAAAAUGUUUGAUUCAGGAAAGAACACACUGACCUGUGGCGCAGGUUGGCAAGGAUGUAAAAUGUCAGUGUUUUCAUCCAGCCAUUUGUUUGUUUUCAUGCGUGCGUUUGUAACGAGUAUUAGAUCAUGUGGGAUUAAGUUUAUCUAACCCUAAAUCACACUGAAGCUGUAGAUAUUUCGUUUUUCUUUUUUUCCUCAUUGCUUCUUAAAACACUGACUGUUCUUGUGUGUUAUUUCACUGUUUUUCUUCUUGGCUUGGAUAUAAACAAUCAUUAUGUGAGACACAUUAAACACCUGUUUUGUUAUUUAUGGCCUAACGUGUGUAAUUGUGAAUUGUUGGGAUUUGUAAUACUUAAUUCAUUGUUAAUGUUUACACCUCUUUGUGUUUGAUUUUUAAAUUUCAUGUCUUGCAGUUACAACAUACAUAGAAACACAUUACCCAGCAUCCUGUGCAGUUUCAAACGUUCCUGUAGUUUCAUGGAAAUUCACCUCAACCCUCUUCAUCAUGAGGAAUGUACAACUGAGGUCACAAGAUAACUGUCAUUCAUAUCCAACACCAGAAACAUGAUGAAACCAUGAGAUAUGAAACUGAAAAUCUUGUAGUUUGACCAUGAAUUAAGAUGUAUUUUGUUGAAAUAUGAUCACACUAACAGUGCAUUCUGUGUUAUGUUAUUGUUGUAUGUUAUUAUACAAAUGUCAUUUUUGAAGAAUUGUGCACUUACAACCCUGAGGUCUUGUUUUCUAUUGUUAAUAAGAAAUGAAAGAUAACAUUUUUAUGUUACACUUGAAGAAACUUACACAUCAAAGCAAAACUCAUUUAGGUGCAGUGAAACUAAUCAAUCACUUUAGAAGAAUAAAUAAAAUAAAAACAUACCUCAUCAAGGCUGA